UCUCAGUUCGGAUUGGAGUCUGCAACUCGACUCCAUGAAGCUGGAUUCGCUAGUAAUCGCGCAUCAGCCACGGCGCGGUGAAUACGUUCCCGGGCCUUGUACACACCGCCCGUCAAGCCAUGGAAGCCGGGAGUGCCUGAAGUGCGUGACCGCAAGGAACGCCCUAGGGUAAAACCGGUGACUGGGGCUAAGUCGUAACAAGGUACC
rnacentral:rRNA from 1 species